ensembl:lncRNA
GUCUGCAUGAGAUCAAAAUGUACAAUUUAUAUUUUGUUUUGUUUAAUCCUCUUAAAAUUGUCUUGGUAAUCUUUAAUCAAAAUCUGUUCAUCUGCUUCCGCUCCGGAAUGGCACUCCUGCUAUGAUGAUGUCAGUUUGAUGGCUUGGGCAGAAUUUGCUUAACCACGCCCCUCUAACCGUUAGUUUGCUGUAAAUGAAAGUAAAAUCCUGCGCUCUACUCAAUAUUCUGUUUCAGGUGGAAAUGCGUCACCACACUGAAAUAAAGUCGGCAGCAACUUCCGGUUCACAUGGACUUUAAGCCCUAAACACACUGCAUGAUUUUCAGCUGUGCCAGACAAAAGAUUGGCAUCAUGGCUCCUAAUCGGUGGUCUUAUGUCGUACAGUGAGAGAUGUUCAAAGAUUGUCGUUGUCAUGGUAUUGUGACCAAAGUUAGCCUACGAUGCAUGGCACAGUGUGUUUGCUGGUACGAUCCAUGUUUAAUAAAAAUGUGACAUGAAAUCAACGUGACAUGGCACUUAAACAUAAAACUGCUUACCUCAAGCUCUUAUCUCUUCCUCUUUCGCUUCUUCCACUUUUUUCAGCACACAUAAAAAAUACAGCUGCUAAAGUGUGAUCUAUUAUGCUUUUUUUGUUUGCCACUAGACUUAUAUUUUAGUGGAAGCCUUUUUUAAGUUAAAAAUGUCUUGAUGAAUUUGUUUCUUAUAAACAUGCAACUUUUGGAUUAUUGUGAUGUUUUUAUCAGCUGUUUGGAUUCUCAUUUUGACGGCACCCAUUCACUGCAGAGGAACCAUUGGCGAACAAAUGGUGUAAUGUACAGUAAAUUGCUUUAAAUCUAUUCUGAUGAAGAAACAAACUCAUCUAUAUAUUGGAUUGUCUGUGUUAACAGGGUCCAAUGUUGUUUUUACAUGAAAACAGAAGUUGAACUAUCCCUUUAAGCGUGAAGUGUUUUUUUUUUUUUUUUUUUUUGUAUGUUAACAUACGAGCUUAUAUGCCAGUUUAAUAUACUGCAUAAGAGACCACUACAAAAAGCAAACCCUUUAAUUCCCUAAAUAAUUGGGUCUAUCAUCUGCUUGGGCACCAUAGACCCCACAUGGGAGCAACCAGAACUGUAAGUGGCCAAAGGCAUGUCUGUGCUCUGUGAGCUCCAUCUGCUGCUGUGGCUGGUGCUUUGGUAAGCACUCAAGGACCUACCGCCUACUCAGGGAGAAGCUCCAUUCCAGCAAACGCCUUUUGUAGAAACUCGGAGAGUAUUGUUUUCCUGCAUCUUUGUCUCGCUCCACUAAUUUCACAACUGUUCUCAGGGAGCUUUUCAUACCAUUGUUGUGUUAGGCUGCUCACCAGGGUCCUGAAGGCAUGAUUCUAUGCAAAGCUGCUGCAGAACAAUAUGUAUUGUGAAAAAAAUGCACAAAUAUACUGAAAUGAAAUAAAUGUAAACUAGAAAGGUCUGCAGAUGCUAUAGCUUCAAGACUUUCAGCUGCACUCGACUGCACUGGCCUCAUGGUGUGAAAGCAGUGUUUAUUUUAGUGUCACUGAGAGAUUAAUAUUAUGAUACUAUUAAAUAAUAAUAAUAAUAACCAUUAUAGAUUUUACUGAUAUUUUGAAUAAAUUUUAAUAUUUUCAGUUUUAAUGUUUUACUAAUUUUGUUGUGUGUUGUUUUCAUCCAUCUAUCCAUCCAUCCAUAGAUAUUUUAAUUAAGGGUAUAAAUACCCUUAACUUGAUAUUUAGCUAAAACACCU